rnacentral:rRNA from 1 species
UGACGACCAUAGCAAGGUGGUCCCACUCCUUCCCAUCCCGAACAGGACAGUGAAACGCCUUCGCGCCGAUGAUAGUUGACAUCCGUCUGUGAAAGUAGGUCAUCGUCAGGCU